CCUACGGGUGGCAGCAGUAGGGAAUAUUGCUCAAUGGGGGAAACCCUGAAGCAGCAACGCCGCGUGGAGGAUGAAGGUUUUCGGAUUGUAAACUCCUUUUGUUAGAGAAGAUAAUGACGGUCUCUAACGACUAAGCACCGGCUAACUCCGUGCCCGCAGCCGCGGUACUACGGAGGGUGCCAGCGUUACUCGGAAUCACUGGGCGUAAGAGCGUGUAGGCGGGAUAGCAAGUCAGGAGUGAAAUUCUAAGGGCUAAACAUAAAACUGCAUUUUAAACGGUUGAUCUAGAGUAGGGGAGAGGUAGGUGGAAUUCUUGGUGUAGGGGUAAAAUCCGUAGAGAUCAAGAGGAAUACUCAUUGCGAAGGCGACCUGCUAGAACAUAACUGACGCUGAUGCGCGAAAGCGUGGGGAGCGAACAGGAUUAGAUACCCGGGUAGUC
rnacentral:rRNA from 1 species